UCCGGCUUAACGCCGGCAGUAUCGCUAGAGUCCCCAGCAUGACCUGAUGGCAACUAGCAACAGGGGUUUCGCUCGUUAAGGGACUUAACCCGACACUUCACAGCACGAGCUGACGACAGCCAUGCAACACCUGUGCACGUUUCACCCUUGCGGGCAUCCUAGCCAAGUUAUCCCCGGUAGGAAUCCGUGCAUGUCAAACCCGGGUAAGGUUCUUCGCGUUGCUUCGAAUUAAGCCACAUGCUCCACCGCUUGUGUGAGCCCCCGUCAAUUCCUUUGAGUUUUAGCCUUGCGGCCGUACUCCCCAGGCGGCACACUUAGCACUUUUGCUGCGGCGCCGAAGGCGUCAGAGCCACCGGCACCUAGUGUGCAUCGUUUACGGCGUGGACUAC
rnacentral:misc_RNA from 1 species